GUACAGAUUUUCAAGGAGCAGGCACAGAGGCGGAAUACUUCAUUCCGGUAAUCAAGUGUCUCGCACCACGGGCCACUGAACGGCUUCCCCAAAGCCCCUUGAGAUAUCAGAAGUGUAUUUUCUUUCCUUGGCCAAAUGGCUUAUUAAUAGAAUUGGCUUAUUUAUAUCUCACCCAGAAAAAAAAAAUCCCAAAGUGAUACAGCAACUGGGAGAUAUCGAGCCAAUUAGUUGUUGGGCUUGUUGUCAUGUGUGUGUGUAUGUGUGUGUGGGGAGAAUCGAGUUAUUAAUUUUCUACCCUUCACUAGUGGCGGAAUCGAUGCGGAGGAAACCGGAAAGAAUGAAGAGAAGCACGCGUCUCAGCCCACCUGAGAAAACUCAGGGAGCAGGUGAAAAACCUCCACAGCUGCGGCCAAGCCAUCCAAUCAGAGGACAGUGGGAAGCCCAGGGCCUGCUCUGUGGUGGGCCAGAGGUCAACCUCCAUUGUCUAGUUUCCUAAGGGCUUAACUCUUAGACAUCAACUUUCAUAUCCAUUGCCAGAUGGAGAAUCUCAUUUCUUCUCGCCUGCAGAUGCUUGUCCAGCGUCAAGUUCACAGCAAGUGAGGGGCAGGUGUCAGUUGUGUGGAACAAGUAUGAAUAUUAAUGAAUGCUGACGUGUACUCCCUCAGCAUCUGCUUGCUGCAAGAGGAAGGUUCCAUGUCUGGGCAGGACUGGCAGUAUUAAGUCCUUUUAGAACUAAGGCAAGGCAGCAUGGUGCAGUGGAAAAGGCAUGGACUCUGAACUCUGGAAUUGGACUUCCACUUGGAAAUCUUAAAUAAAUCUUUAAUUUUUCCGAAAUUCAGACUGAAAAAGAAAAAAAAA